rnacentral:misc_RNA from 1 species
CUCCUCUACGGCAUUAGAAG